rnacentral:rRNA from 1 species
GAUGAACGCUGGCGGCGUGCCUAAUACAUGCAAGUCGAGCGAACAGACGAUGAGCUUGCUCCUCUGACGUUAGCGGCGGACGGGUGAUUAACACGUGGAUAACCUACCUAUAAUACUGGGAUAACUUCGGGAAACCUGAGCUAAUACCGGAUAAUAUAUUGAACCGCAUGGUUCAAUAGUUAAAGACGGUUUUGCUGUCACUUAUAGAUGGAUCCGCGCCGCAUUAGCUAGUUGGUAAGGUAACGGCUUACCAAGGCAACGAGGCGUAGCCGACCUGAGAGGGGGAUCGGCCACACGGGAACUGAGACACGGUCCAGACUCCUAAGGGAGGCAGCAGUAGGGAAUCUUCCGCAAAGGGGGAAAGCCUGACGGAGCAACGCCGCGUGAGUGAUGAAGGUCUUCGGAUCGUAAAACUCUGUUAUUAGGGAAGAACAAAUGUGUAAGUAAAUAUGCACGUCUUGACGGUACCUAAUCAGAAAGCCACGGCUAACUACGUG